GGAAUAUUGGACAAUGGGGGGAACCCUGAUCCAGCCAUGCCGCGUGUGUGAAGAAGGCCUUUUGGUUGUAAAGCACUUUAAGCGAGGAGGAGGCUACUUAGACUAAUACUCUAGGAUAGUGGACGUUACUCGCAGAAUAAGCACCGGCUAACUCUGUGCCAGCAGCCGCGGUAAUACAGAGGGUGCGAGCGUUAAUCGGAUUUACUGGGCGUAAAGCGUGCGUAGGUGGUCUUUUAAGUCGGAUGUGAAAUCCCUGAGCUUAACUUAGGAAUUGCAUUCGAUACUGGGAGACUAGAGUAUGGGAGAGGAUGGUAGAAUUCCAGGUGUAGCGGUGAAAUGCGUAGAGAUCUGGAGGAAUACCGAUGGCGAAGGCAGCCAUCUGGCCUAAUACUGACACUGAGGCACGAAAGCAUGGGGAGCAAACAGGAUUAGAUACCCUGG
rnacentral:rRNA from 1 species